CUGAACUCACAAGACCACCUAAUUUGUAUAGUUCUUCUGCCUGAUUACCACAAUACAGGUCACUUGCUGAUUUAUCUCCAAUUCACAGCUCAUUAGAAGAGUCUGUGUGGUGAGUGGGGCACAUACUACCCCAUUGUUUUGAGCUCCUCCAAACUGUGAGUAUCCAAGGAUAAGAAGCUGAGGUUUU